rnacentral:rRNA from 1 species
AUUGAACGCUGGCGGCAGGCCUAACACAUGCAAGUCGAACGAGUGGCGGACGGGCGAGUAAUGUCUGGGAAACUGCCUGAUGGAGGGGGAUAACUACGGGAAACGGUAGCUAAUACCGCAUAACAUCGGAUGUGGCCAGAUGGGAUUAGCUAGUCGGUGGGGUAAAGGCUCACCUAGGCGACGAUCCCUAGCCGGUCUGAGAGGGUGACCAGCCACACUGGAACUGAGACACGGUCCAGACUCCUACGGGAGGCAGCAGUAGGGAAUAUUGCACAAUGGACGCAAGCCUGAUCGAGCCAUGCCGCGUGUAUGAAGAAGGCCUUCGGGUUGUAAAGUACUUUCGGCGGGGAGGCGUUACCCGCAGAAGAAGCACCGGCUAACUCCGUGCCAGCAGCCGCGGUAAUUC